CAUAACUGGUGUCUGCCUCUGAUUCCAGCCUCCUUGUCCUGCCCUUGGAUUUGAGAGCUGGCAGCCCUGCACUGUGACUCCAGACCCAAAGAUGCAGAAAAUGAGGGGAAAAGCACGUACUGACUGGGCCGGAAGAGAAACUUGUUCAUAGCUGGGAAAGCUGAAG
rnacentral:lncRNA from 14 species